GCUUAUAUAUGCCGGAGAAGUCUCUGCUUCUCUCCUCCGAUCUCUCGGCCGAUCUACGACGGAGCACAGUUAAUGGCGGAGAAAUUGGCAUCGGAUAAGCGCCACAGCUUCGUCAAUGGCGGUCAGAAGGUUUUCGAAUGGGAUCAAACCCUGGAGGAGGUCGACAUGUACAUUGACCUCCCUCCCAACGUUCCCAAAAACUUUUUACUGCAAGAUCCAGUCCGAACACCUCGAAGUGGGGAUCAAGGACAAUCCUUCUUAUCUCAAUAGGAUGAAGUCAUGCACAUAACAUUACAGAAGAGGGACAAAGGAAAAACUUGGUCAUCUCCCGUACUUGGUCAAGGUUUACUGGAUUCAUAUGCUGCCGAUCUUGAACAGAAGCGCCUUAUGCUUCAAAGGUUUCAAGAAGAGAUAGCCAAAUAGGUCCUCAAUACAUACAAACUUGAAUCCAGAAUUCCUUGCGCAAGUAUUUACUCCAUCCAUGACUCAUCACUACUUUGAGUUAACCCUGGUUUUGACUUUUCUCAAGCUCAGUUCAGCGGGGCCUGCCCUGAUCCGAGGACCUUCAUGGGUGGCAUAAGCUAAGCUUACAAUUGAGGUGACUCCUCUUGGUUGUUCUUUCUUUCUUGAUGACUAAUCUGUUUUUAGACAAUCAUGUGUAUACUAUCCACUCUUGGAGUUACGAAUUAUGAUUAAUCUUUUUCCGUGGUCGCAAAGAUUGCAACAAUGACACUAAACA